AUUUUGUGUAAUUUUUUUAUGGAAAGCUAUAUAAAUAUUUAGAUAUUGAUAAUUCUAACCCUGUGACAAAAAAGUCAGUGCUGCUUCCCAUAUCAGAUAGUUUGAGAAGUGCUGGUCUAAACUGUUAAUACAAAUGAUUUGUUGUACUAAUAGUUUGUAAAUUCAGUUAUAGAAUUCUAAUUUUAACAUAGGAUAUAGAAAUUUAUAAUCUUUAAUGAUAUAUGGUAGUUCAUAAAUAUAUAUCUAGUGAGGCAAUAUCAUUGGCUUGCAUAAAUCAGAAGUUUUUGAUUACAAACAGCCAUUCUUCAAAUCACUGGGCAUGGUUUAGCUGGUAUUAUUUUUUUAGUAAAAUAGUAGUGGGUUUUUCAACAAUAGAUCCGAUUUUAUUCCAAAUUUGUAUGAUUUUACAUAGCCAAAUAGCCUUGGUGUAGGGCAUAAUAUAUUUACUUGCUAAACAUAAUCCAAAGCACUGGUUCCCCCUGGUGAACAAAUUUAG
rnacentral:lncRNA from 1 species